rnacentral:rRNA from 1 species
UACGUAGGUGGCAAGCGUUGUCCGGAUUUACUGGGCGUAAAGAGCGCGCAGGCGGUCGUUCAAGUCGCGUGUGAAAGCCCCCGGCUCAACUGGGGAGGGUCACGCGAUACUGAUCGACUCGAAGGCAGGAGAGGGUAGUGGAAUUCCCGGUGUAGUGGUGAGAUGCGUAGAUAUCGGGAGGAACACCAGUGGCGAAGGCGACUACCUGGCCUGUUCUUGACGCUGAGGCGCGAAAGCUAGGGGAGCAAACGGG